rnacentral:rRNA from 1 species
GUCUACGGCCAUACUACCUUCAAAACACCGGUUCUCUUCCGAUCACCGAAGUUAAGCAACGUCGGGUCUGGUUAGUACUUGGAUGGGAGACCGCUUGGGAAUACCGGGGGCUGUAGACA